rnacentral:tRNA from 1 species
UUAAAAAUAAGCUAAAAAAGCUAAUGAACUCAUAAUUCAUUUAUAAAGUAAAAACUUUUUUUUAAA